GUUGCAUGAGGAGCCACAUUUAUUCUUAAUUGGACAGAGCCUUAAGUGCACACACACAGUACAGGAGCCUAGAGCCUAACAUUCGGGUUUAGGACGUCAGGGAACUAGAGUCAUUACCUCAGGAUGGCGGUUACAGUGCAGGGGCCGGAGUGUGCCACACAACCACGUAUGUACAAGCCACAAGGGAACUCGGGGGACCACUAGCUACAGGAAGCACAGGCCCGGGAAGAAGCCACAGCCUCUGUCGAUCCUGGGGGAAUGCUUGCCCCAUCUCAGGAAUAAAGGAGGGCGCCUCCCGGAGUCCCACGCAGGGGGGCUGACGGAGGACCAGUGCGGCAAUCCCGCUAGCGCCUGCACCAUCAGUGACAUUCAGGGACCCUCACCAAGCCCUUUGCCACACCUCCCCCAGAGGUGCUGAGGGGGGAUCAGGAUUGAGGGGAGACCACCUCACCGCAGUCACCCUGGGUGUGUGUGCAUGUUUGUGUGCGUGCAUGUGCGCCUGUGCGUGUCAGUGAGUCAAACCUUGAUGUCUUAUAAGUGAUUACUCAGGGCGGGGAGGCCUGGGGACCUUACGAGAGCAUCAACACUCACCCCUGUGCACCCACCGGGUCCCGCUGGAGCUCAGUGCCAGUUGGCCUGGAACCCAGCAUCCCCUCCCUGGGCCUGUCUCUGGGGUCCCAGCAGAAGGAGCUCACCCUCCCUUGGAGGGGACAGAGAGCCCUCCCCAGGCGAGGAUGGCCAUCCCUCAAACCAAAUGAGGCUGCAGCCUGAGCAACAUCAAACUUUAAAAAAAAAACAUCUGAGAGAGGCUUUCUAGAUCUUUCUCUCCUUCCCCACUUAGUGGGAAACAGCAGCCACAGCCAGACCUGACUUUCCUCCCUGCACCCCACGAUGUGAGGGCCCUCAGUGGCCCUCCAGAUCAGCCCGUCAUGUCAUAGAUGUGAAGACCGAGUCGCAGUUUGUUAAGCAACUUGUCCCCGGCUUGUGUGACCCGUGGGUAGUUUUGGGCAUGAGCAUUUCCUGACUCACAGAUGGAUUUCUCUCCCCAGAAACCCCGGGUUUCUGGACUCCAACCCAGGACCUCCCACUGGAGCAGAUCUGAAAGGAGGAAGUGACAGUGGGGAUAGGGCCAUCAGGUAGCACACACCUGGCUCCUAGUCAAGGCCAAGACAGCACCAGGUCAAAAUGAAACAGUCCCUGGGGCACCUCCACGGCCAUGGAGGCUCCUGAACUUGGGGGCCAUUUUGGGAAACCCUCGCGUGGGCCCCUCCCCUCAGCCCCGUCCCGCGUAGCAGGUGCUCUGCAGGUUGGCUGGCCCCAGACACCUGCGCCCUGGUGGGGGGGCCUCAGACCCUUCCGAGGCCACAGCUUCAGGCUGGUUGACCUGAGUGGGCUGCGGCCUGGGCCCCGCACCUCCAAUCUCCCUGCAGUGAGGGGGGCUCUCGGGGACCCGACUCAUCUUAGAACAACUCACCCCAUCCCUGUUUCUCCUCCUUGCCCUCAAGACCGUCCUAAAAGCCAGAGUAAGUGCUGGUUCCAGACUCUGCAGUCACCUCUGCUCUCUGCAUCUCAGUCCAAUACCUCCAGGAACGUCUGGAGGGGAGUACGGGCCUCGUGGUUUCUGGACAAUGUUUGAUGUCAGCCCAGGAUGGGAACCCUCAUCUGAGGACCUCCACAUAAAGCCGCUGAGCCCUGCGUUCACAGAUGUGCUUUCUCAGGACCUGACUCUUACUGAGGGAGCUGCUCCAUCAUUAGCACCUCCCAGGCACUGGGGAUGACGGCAGCAGGGAGCGAAGGUAGCCACUGCCACGCUGCCCCUGAGCCAGGUUCGAAAAGGCACGCUCAGUCUCAACUCCCCACCGGGCCUGAGCCCAUCAUCCCGGGUCGCACGUCUGAGGCGAAGCUUAUGGGGCCUGAACAACUUUCCCAAAGGAAAACCUCGAACUGGAACCUUCUUACUUGUAUGGGAGCCAACACCAUACAUCCCCAGGGGAGAGACACUGCAGGCACUUCUGGUCUCAGUGCAUGGAACUGGGAGAAUGCCCACGUGUCAUGUCAGUGCCAGGUGGGGACAGCCUGGGAUAAAGGGGGGUCUCAGAACCACUGACACCUGAGUGUGUUAGGGUCGUCCAAACCAAGUGGAAAGGUGAGGGGUCAGUGAGCAACACCCAGCAAGAAUGGCAAAGGGGUGGAA